rnacentral:pre_miRNA from 1 species
GAUUUCAUUUGAAAAAGUCAUAAAUAACAAAGUUGUAUAACUCAUCAAGAUCUAUAACUUUUAUUUUAGCAAUUUCUUCAUCCGACAAAGUAAUUUGUAAGAUUGUUCACAAAAUGUACAUCUCUUAUAUAGUUUUUACAAAAUUAUAUAAGAGAUGUACAUUUUAUGAACAAUCUUACUAAUCACUUUGUCGGAUGAAGAAAUGACUAAAAUAUAAGUUAUAGAUCUUGAUGAAUUAUACAAUUUUGUUAUUGAUGACUUUUUCAGUUGAAAUC